rnacentral:rRNA from 1 species
AUACGGAGGGAGCAAGCGUUACUCGGAAUCACUGGGCGUAAAGCGCGCGCAGGCGGCUUGAUAAGUUGGAUGUGAAAGCCUACGGCUCAACCGUAGAACUGCAUCCAAAACUAUUUAGCUAGAGUGUGGGAGAGGAAGAUGGAAUUAGUUGUGUAGGGGUAAAAUCCGUAGAGAUAACUAGGAAUACCAAAAGCGAAGGCAAUCUUCUGGAACACUACUGACGCUGAGGCGCGAAAGCGUGGGGAGCAAACAGGAUUAGAAACCCUAGUAGUCC